rnacentral:rRNA from 1 species
GAUGAACGCUAGCGGCAGGCCUAACACAUGCAAGUCGAGGGGCAGCACAGAAACAGCAAUGUUUUGGUGGCGACCGGCGGACGGGUGCGUAACGCGUAUGCAACCUACCUUUAACAGGGGGAUAACGGAGAGAAAUUUCCACUAAUACCCGAUAACAUCGAUCAAGGCAUCUUGAUUGGUUGAAAACUCCGGUGGUUAAAGAUGGGCAUGCGUUGUAUUAGGUAGUUGGUGAGGUAAUGGCUCACCAAGCCUACGAUACAUAGGGGGACUGAGAGGUUGGCCCCCCACACUGGUACUGAGACACGGACCAGACUCCUACGGGAGGCAGCAGUGAGGAAUAUUGGUCAAUGGGGGCAGCCCUGAACCAGCCAUGCCGCGUGCAGGAAGACGGCUCUAUGAGUUGUAAACUGCUUUUAAACAGGGAUAAAGCACAGUAUGUAUACUGUGUUGAAGGUACUGUAAGAAUAAGGAUCGGCUAACUCCGUGCCAGCAGCCGCCGUAA